UUCUAAACUCUUUCCUUCGAGGAAACCUUUGGCAAAAUUAUCUAGAUGUACACUUAUUAGCAACCAUCUAUAUUUCGAGAAAAAUGUUUUGUGUUUGCUUCUUCAUAAGGAUCUUGCACAUCGUAUUCUCUAUGAUCCUAGAUCUUGACAGGGAGUUGUUAGUCCUGCUUGAAAAUGAUUUUGUUUCCACUCUUAUGAUAAAAUAGCUCGAGUUUAAAGAAUUUUAGUGGUGUAUGAAGACAUUGUUAUCCGUUGUUAGGCACUGGUGGGAAUGCCCAGGCGGGAGGAACUCUGGUGGGAGAAUUGCUGUGUCACCAGCUACAAGGUCAGGCCGAAUUACCCACAAAAAGGUUUGCUUGCUAUUCGCAAGUCCCCAAGAAAACUCAAUUAGUUGAUCCACCGUCAUGACUGUAAUACUACCAAAAUUUACAUAAACAACUGAAUUGGGUUCUUUUAAA